rnacentral:rRNA from 1 species
UACGUAGGCAGCGAGCGUUGUUCGGAGUUACUGGGCGUAAAGGGUGUGUAGGCGGUUUUCUAAGUUUGGUGUGAAAUCUCCCGGCUCAACCGGGAGGGUGCGCCGAAAACUGGGAGACUAGAGUGCGGGAUGGGAGAGUAGAAUUCCUGGUGUAGCGGUGAAAUGCGUAGAUAUCAGGAGGAAUCCCGGGGGUGUAGACGGCUCUCUGGACCGCCACUGACGCUGAGACACGAAAGCGUGGGUAGCAAACAGG